rnacentral:rRNA from 1 species
GACGAACGCUGGCGGCGUGCCUAAUACAUGCAAGUAGAACGCUGAAGAGAGGAGCUUGCUCUUCUUGGAUGAGUUGCGAACGGGUGAGUAACGCGUAGGUAACCUGCCUUGUAGCGGGGGAUAACUAUUGGAAACGAUAGCUAAUACCGCAUAACAAUGGAUGACCCAUGUCAUUUAUUUGAAAGGGGCAAAUGCUCCACUACAAGAUGGACCUGCGUUGUAUUAGCUAGUAGGUGAGGUAACGGCUCACCUAGGCGACGAUACAUAGCCGACCUGAGAGGGUGAUCGGCCACACUGGGACUGAGACACGGCCCAGACUCCUACGGGAGGCAGCAGUAGGGAAUCUUCGGCAAUGGGGGCAACCCUGACCGAGCAACGCCGCGUGAGUGAAGAAGGUUUUCGGAUCGUAAAGCUCUGUUGUAAGUCAAGAACGAGUGUGAGAGUGGAAAGUUCACACUGUGACGGUAGCUUAACAGAAAGGGACGGCUAACUACGUGCCAGCAGCCGCGGUAAUACGUAGGUCCCGAGCGUUGUCCGGAUUUAUUGGGCGUAAAGCAAGCGCAGGCGGUUUGAUAAGUCUGAAGUUAAAGGCUGUGGCUCAACCAUAGUUCGCUUUGGAAACUGUCAAACUUGAGUGCAGAAGGGGAGAGUGGAAUUCCAUGUGUAGCGGUGAAAUGCGUAGAUAUAUGGAGGAACACCGGUGGCGAAAGCGGCUCUCUGGUCUGUAACUGACGCUGAGGCUCGAAAGCGUGGGGAGCGAACAGG